rnacentral:lncRNA from 1 species
AUGCCAUAUGAUACUGGCUUAGUAAUCAAUACCAGUAAUUACCAUAGAACUUUAUCUGACUACCCAACCAUAUCAAAAGAGUACUUUUUUCUGGGUUAAUAAUACUAGCUUUGAUACAUAAUCAUUUAAGUUAUAUUUGUUUAAAAUUAUAUAUUUUCUUAGUAAUAGUCAAGUUGGUGCUUAGGAAUAAACAUGUAGAAGUUUAUGCAGUAUGUAGGGCAGAGGUCAGUGAAUGUAUUUGCUUGGCUUGGAACUUAAGAUUGAACCAAUUUUACAAUAAAUCAAAUUGGAAGAAAUUGGUAAAAGGCAUUUUAGUAAUAUUGGAACUUUUUGAAGUGUGUGGGACUAUGAGAAGAAUUUCUUACUAACAUUUCCAAUAUCUGUAAGAUACCAAAGGACUGAGACUAACUGAUCUUUUAAUGGAAUUUCUUUGAAAUCAAAUCCAUAACUGAUUCUAUUAAGAUACAAUAGCUAAAGUUGGGGAAUAACUUCAGGUAAAAACUGCAAGUCUUGAAGAUUUUUGGCAUUCUUUUAAGUAUUUAAACUUAAUCUUUAUAGCUGCCCCAUACAGUAAUCUAUGACCUCUCUGAAUCACUCUUCAAUCUUGGGCCUCUAUUGCCUUACUUCAAAUAUUGUACCUUGUUUAGCCUACCUCACAGGGCUGUUGUGAGGAGUGUAGUGAAACGGACUCUCAUGUGAACUGGGUGGUUUCCACUAAGAAUGGUUGUGUUUGGAUACUUGUAAAUGCUGUUUAGUUAGAAAAAGCAUGUUAAGUUGGUAUAAGCAGUGAUUUUAAAUGAUUUUUAAAAAUAAGACGUCCUUCAAAAUGUCUUUUAGUAUCAAUUAAGUUUGUGCAUGAUUGUUUUUAUAUUUCUCAUCAACUACACAACUUUUCCAAGUUAUAAAGUCUACUGCAGCAUUCAUGUGUAGCGGGGAAGCCUACGUAAGCAAACGACUACAGCUCCUUCCCCCCAGGACUUGCACUUGCACUAGAGCAGCCGGUGCCCAUGCAGAGUGAACGUGGCUGAAUUAACUUUUCCAACAACCAAGUGGGUCAGCAAUUUGAUGCCCUUGAUAAAUAUCAACUUUAUUGAAUUGUACCUUUUAUUAAAAAGGAAAUACUUCAAAACCUUGUUCAUUACCUAGACCAGUUAUUAUCUGUCUGGACAUAGUUGUGUUCCUCUAAAUUGGAUGUACUAAAUAGUUUACAAGUUAUCCUACUCCACAGAUUUUGGUAUGUUUGUUAUCUGGACAUGAUUUUGCUAUGCAGUUGUGAUAAUAAAAAUUCCAGCUCCUCAGGUUUAACCUCUAAGUUGUGGAUGGAGACUAUUUAAAGUACACAUGAUGUAUUCAGUGCUGCAAGAGUGUUUGAAAUGAGCACACUGCCUCAUUUUCCUCACCAACAAGACAAAGCCUUUCCAAUGAUUUUUUUUUAAACUUUCAAAGUGGUUGUUCAAAGUGUAGCAACUUGUAUGUUGAAAUGAUUGUAUGUUCUGUAUGAAAUGUUCCACUUGAGAUUUUUACAAAAGCACCUGUAUUAUCUCUUUUAAAAAUUAAACUUUUUUUUUGCUUUC